UACGUAGGGGGCAAGCGUUGUCCGGAUUUAUUGGGCGUAAAGAGCGUGUAGGCGGCUUUGCAAGUCCGUUGUGAAAACUCGAGGCUCAACCUCGAGACGCCGGUGGAAACUGCAAAGCUAGAGUCCGGAAGAGGCGAGUGGAAUUCCUGGUGUAGCGGUGAAAUGCGCAGAUAUCAGGAGGAACACCAAUGGCGAAGGCAGCUCGCUGGGACGUGACUGACGCUGAGACGCGAAAGCGUGGGGAGCAAACAGG
rnacentral:rRNA from 1 species